CAGUCGCCACGGUAAUACGAAGGGUGCAAGCGUUACUCGGAAUUACUGGGCGUAAAGCGUGCGUAGGUGGUGGUUUAAGUCCGUUGUGAAAGCCCUGGGCUCAACCUGGGAAUUGCAGUGGAUACUGGGUCACUAGAGUUUGGUAGAGGAUAGUGGAAUUUCCGGUGUAGCAGUGAAAUGCGUAGAGAUCGGAAGGAACAUCUGUGGCGAAGGCGACUAUCUGGGCCAACACUGACACUGAGGCACGAAAGCGUGGGGAGCAAACAGGAUUAGAUACCCCCGUAGUCCCUGUCUCUUAUAC
rnacentral:rRNA from 1 species